UUUCAGCCUCUGAGUAACGAAAACUGUAACUUAUUUCCAUUUCUUCCUAUACCUUUCUCAGGUGAUUCCUGCAAACAUAAAUCCACUGUAGUAUCCAUCCAGCACAGGAAUAUUCUAAGCGUGGAGAAACAAUGCGACUCAUUAACAGUGUGACUUUUCAAUUGUAAGAAUUGCUGCAUGCAGGAGUACAAAUCCUGCUGUACUCUGUGGAGGUAUAAUUGUGAAUGCAACGUGUACAGUAUCAGUAUCGGAGGAAAAGCAUACAUACAGCUAUGGCCAAGGACAGAGCUCUGCACCAGCUGAACCAUGGGCCUGAUCCAGUACGACAGUUGCUCCUCCACUCCAAUGGCAAUAAUUUCCCCAUGAUGUUGAGCACAGUCCUUGUGGUACCUUGACACCGCUAUAGGAAUCUGUGGAUGGAGGUUUCCUAUGUUGUACCAGGUAACAAAAGUCGAGUUCAGCUGUCUACUUUGCACUAACUCGUAAAAGCAUCAAGUGUUAAAAAAUCUUACUGAAACUUAAAUGUAGCUUGGGUGCAUCCAGGCUCUCCCAUGUGUCUCUCCAUGUGCAACUCCCAUUGAUCUGGUGAGGAACAGGAACUUCCAUUCUCACAUGGGAGAAGGUCUGUGCUCCUUCACAGUGGCAGAACACUGUUAGAGACAUCUCAGUGUGGUUGUUUGGGACUGGAGAAAGGGAACAUCUAUCCCAUGGGUGUCUGUGAGACUUUAGGAGUGCCUUUUCUUAUCUGCUCCCUUACAGCAAAA
rnacentral:lncRNA from 1 species